rnacentral:rRNA from 1 species
AGCGAACGCUGGCGGCAGGCCUAACACAUGCAAGUCGAACGAACUCUUCGGAGUUAGUGGCGGACGGGUGAGUAACACGUGGGAACGUGCACUCUGGGUUGGCAUAACUAAGGGACACUUGUGAUAAUACCGAAUGUGAGCUUCGGGGGAAAGAUUUAUUGCAAUUAGUGCGGCACGAGUCUGAUAAGCUCGUUGGUGAGGUAACGGCUCACCAAGGCGUCGAUCAGUAGCUGGUUAGAGAGGAUGGUCAGCCACUCCGGGACUGAGACGCGGCCCAGACUCCUACGGGAGGCAGCAGUGGGGAAUCUUGCGCAGUGGGCGGAAGCCUGACGCAGCCAUGCCGCGUGAAUGAUGAAGGUCUUAGGAUUGUAAUAUUCUUGCAACGGGGACGAUAAUGACGGUACCCGGAGAAGAAGCCCCGGCUAACUUCGUG